AUUCCUAAUAAAACAGGCCUGCAUAACCAUAAUUAUAACAAGAACAUUAUAAAGAGAUGACUUAUUUUUAGGUGGAACAGUUUGCUUUUCAAAUUGAAAGGCCCACUACUACUUGUUAGAUUUGCUGAAAUUGUAAUAUCCUCUUUUCAGUGUUUUCCUAGAAACUUUCAGGUUAUAUAAUCUCUUUUUUUUUCCUACUCUUUUCAGAGUAAUUCUGCAGUCCAGUGUUCAGAAAAAUAAAACCUCUGAACCUAGCAUUUCUGACAGUACAAUCAUUACUAAAAGAACUACCAGGUCUGCAGCAAGAAACAAAAGUAUAAAAAGCAGCCAGUCCAUCACAAGAACUAGAACAGUAUUGCGUUAAAAUUUCAAAUCAGCAAGCAGUGUUGAAAGGGGAUAUCCAGGCAUGAAGGGGAUACAACUUGAAGACAUUUGAUUGCAGUUCUAGGAAGAUAUCUUUGGCUCCCUUUAAACAGAAGAAACUUACUCAUACUUGUAAAAUAAAACUGGCAACAUGCUUGGUAUACAAUUUCUUAAUUAUUAAUGCUUCCUCAAGCAAACCCAACAAAAUUGUGUAAAUUCAGACUCAGGUGUAAAUACUUGAGCUCUCUAUUUUAAAGAGGGCUCCCUACCAUAUAUGAUGCAUGUGCAUAAAAUGUGAUGGCAAUCACAGCUGCUGACCACCAGAAGUGAGAAAAUGGUGGGAGUUUUUAACAUGUAAAUCUGUGUUGUUCAUUCAGACGGGGCUCAGGUCUCCACUUGAGGCUGAAACUCUACCACAGAGGCUUUUUACACAAGGAUUGGUACUCUCUUGUGUUAACUGGCUAUUCUUUCUUAUUUUAUAUGACUUUUUUUUUAUGAAGUCCUGGUGUUGAGAACACAAAGUAACUAUUGUCCACCAAAGAGUGCUUUAUUUUCAAAGACUGUGAUUUUUUUUAAUUUUAAUUUUGGGG